GAUGAAGAACGCAGCGAAAUGCGAUAAGUAAUGUGAAUUGCAGAAUUCAGUGAAUCAUCGAAUCUUUGAACGCACCUUGCGCUCCUUGGUAUUCCGAGGAGCAUGCUUGUUUGAGUGUCAUGGUAUUCUCAACCCUCUUGUUGUUUUUACAAACGGCAAUUGGGCUUGGACUUGGGGGUUUGCAGGCAUCGGAAUUCUUUAAUUCAGAUGUCAGCUCCUCUGAAAUGCAUUAGCUUGAAUGUAUCAAGUACGGUUCAACGUGAUAAUUAUCUACGUUGCUUCAACUUGUUGUUCUAGCUUCUAAUCGUCCUUCAGGACAAACAUAUCUGAACAUCUGACCUCAAAUCAAGUAGGACUACCCGCUGAACUUAAGCAUAUCAAUAAGCGGAGGA
rnacentral:misc_RNA from 1 species